GACGAACGCUGGCGGCGUGCUUAACACAUGCAAGUCGAACGGAAAGGCCCUGCUUUUGUGGGGUGCUCGAGUGGCGAACGGGUGAGUAACACGUGAGUAACCUGCCCUUGACUUUGGGAUAACUUCAGGAAACUGGGGCUAAUACCGGAUAGGAGCUCCUGUUUCAUGGUGGGGGUUGGAAAGUUUCGGUGGUUGGGGAUGGACUCGCGGCUUAUCAGCGUGUUGGUGGGGUAGUGGCUUACCAAGGCUUUGACGGGUAGCCGGCCUGAGAGGGUGACCGGCCACAUUGGGACUGAGAUACGGCCCAGAAUCCUACGGGAGGCAGCAGUGGGGAAUAUUGCACAAUGGGCGGAAGCCUGAUGCAGCAACGCCGCGUGCGGGAUGACGGCCUUCGGGUUGUAAACCGCUUUCGCCUGUGACGAAGCGUGAGUGACGGUAAUGGGUAAAGAAGCACCGGCUAACUACGUG
rnacentral:rRNA from 1 species